ACGGGUUGGGGCCGGAAUCACGUUUGCAGAACAAAUUUCAAAGAUAAGAUAAAAAGGAUAUCAGAGGCUGUUAUCAAUUUUCUUAUUCUUCAAUUUAACACGAUUCGACUUGGAAAUGAACGGAAAAUUCAGGUUUGCGAUCGACAGGGGAGGCACCUUUACGGAUGUGUAUGCCCAGUGUCCGAACGGAGAUGUCAAGACUCUCAAGCUGCUCUCAGUCGACCCGGCCAACUAUGAGGAUGCACCUCGUGAAGGCAUCAGGCGCAUCAUUGAAGAGAUAACUGGGAAAAAUAUUUCAAAGAGUGAAAAAAUAAGCUGUGACAAUAUAGAAUGGAUACGAAUGGGCACAACGGUAGCUACCAACGCUCUGUUGGAAAGAAAAGGCGAAAAGAUGGCACUUGUUAUUACCAAAGGAUUUCGAGACUUGCUCUACAUUGGGAAUCAGGCACGACCUAAAAUAUUUGACUUGAAAAUCCUUAUGCCUGAAGUUUUAUAUGAAGAAGUGGUAGAGGUCAACUGUAGGAUUGUACCAGAAAUGAAGGAAAGAUGUUUGCUACCUGAUGCAAAAGCAUGGGACCUUGUAAAAAGUGUAUCAGGUGAAAGAUAUUUAAUUAAACAGCACCUCAAUGAGACAGAGGUGACAACGGAUUUAAAAAAGUUGCUUGACAAAGGGAUCAAAAGCAUCGCAGUUGUAUUAAUGCAUUCAUACAUGUGGCAUGAUCAUGAACUACAAAUUGGAAAAAUAGCAGAGAAUUUGGGCUUUACAAAUAUAUCAUUGUCGCAUCAAGUCAUGCCUAUGGUUAAAAUAGUUAACAGAGGUUAUACAGCUUGUGCUGAUGCUUAUUUGACACCUCAUAUUAAGAAAUAUGUAAAGAGUUUUGCUUCUGGCUUUAAAGAUGAUCUAAAAAAUGUAAAUGUACUUUUUAUGCAAAGUGAUGGUGGAUUAACACCGAUGACAUUGUUCAAUGGAUCUAGGGCAGUUUUGUCGGGUCCUGCCGGUGGCGUAGUUGGUUAUGCUCAAACCACACCGGGAUCAAAACCAAUAAUUGGUUUUGAUAUGGGCGGUACUUCGACUGAUGUGAGUCGUUUUGCAGGAGAAUACGAACACAUUUUUGAGUCUACUGUUGCUGGAGUUACACUUCAGGCCCCUCAGCUGGAUAUAAACACCGUGGCCGCUGGGGGUGGUUCUAGGCUUUUCUUUCGCUCUGGUCUUUUUGUAGUGGGUCCUGAAAGUGCUGGUGCUCACCCUGGGCCUGUCUGUUAUAGAAAAGGAGGAUAUCUGACAGUCACGGAUGCAAAUCUAGUUCUGGGGCGUUUGCUGCCGGAAUAUUUUCCAAAAAUAUUUGGACCUGAUGAAAAGGAACCAAUUGAUAAAGAAGCUGCCUUAGAACAAUUUGAACAAUUAAAAGAAGAGAUUAAUUCUUUCUUGUCUUCCGAAGGGGAAAAGAAUAAAUUAUCAGUUGAAGAAGUGGCUAUGGGAUUUAUUAAAGUUGCUAAUGAAAGCAUGUGUCGACCCAUAAGAGCUUUAACUCAGGUAGGAAAAGGCUUUGACACGAGAGAUCAUGUGUUGACUUGUUUCGGAGGCGCAGGAGGUCAACACGCGUGUGCAAUUGCAAGGGAUCUUGGGAUAACAGAAGUUUUUAUGCACAAGUAUGCCGGUAUACUUUCCGCUUAUGGUAUCGCAUACGCUGAUGUUGUUCAUGAAGAGCAAAAACCUUCGACGUACAUCUUAAAAAAAAAUAGCUAUCCAGCGAUUGUUGAACAACUUAAGAAACUGGAGAACCAGUGUGUUAAAGAGCUUAAAGUUCAGGGAUUUUUGCCUGAUAACAUUCAGUGCCAACAUUUUUUGAAUUUGCGUUACGAAGGUACUGACGGGAGUCUGAUGUGCUCAUCCAAAAACAAUAACUGGUCCGACAACAUGGAAAGUUUUGAAACUACAUUCUUAACAAGGUAUAAAGCAGAAUUUGGCUUCGUCAUCCCUGAUAGAAACAUUCUUGUUGAUGACAUACGAGUCAGAGGUGUGGGCUUAUCUAAGCCCAGAAAAGAAAGCGUUAUGAAACCUUCUAAAGGAAAAUGUAUCCCUGAAAAUGUUGUAAAGGUGUAUUUUGAAACGUUCGGUUAUUUGAACACAGAUGUAUUUACUUUACAAUUUCUAAUUUAUGGCCAUAAAAUUAAAGGGCCUGCGUUGAUUAUGGACGAGUUGAGCACCAUUUUGAUUGAACCGCAUUGUGAAGCUACAAUCACAGAGACGGGUGAUAUAAUCGUCAAAAUAGAAAAACUCGGAAAAAAAAAAGUAGGCCAAGAGCUCAAUGCAAUUCAGCUGAGCAUUUUUUCACAUAGAUUUAUGAGCAUUGCCGAACAGAUGGGAAGGGUUUUGCAGAGAACAGCAAUAUCUACUAACAUCAAAGAAAGACUGGACUUUUCCUGUGCUUUAUUUGGACCUGACGGUGGAUUGGUUUCCAAUGCUCCACACAUACCAGUUCAUUUGGGAUCAAUGCAAGACACUGUUCAAUUUCAGUUAAAACUACUCGGUAAUUCUUUAAAAGAGGGAGAUGUAAUUUUAUCAAACCACCCAAAGGCAGGAGGAUCUCACUUGCCUGAUCUUACAGUUAUAACACCUGUGUUUUACAAGAAUGUUAAAAGACCUGUUUUCUUUGUCGCCUGUCGAGGCCAUCAUGCCGAUAUUGGUGGUAUCACUCCUGGUUCGAUGCCACCUCACUCGAAACACAUUUUAGAAGAAGGCGCUUCUUUCAAGAGUUUUUUUCUUGUUCGUGAUGGCCACUUCCAUGUAAAAGAGCUCGAGGAAGAGCUUAUGAAGCCGGCCAAAAGGCCAGGCUCAUCAGGAACACGGAAUCUCCAUGAUAACAUUGCAGACCUCCAAGCGCAAAUUGCAGCUAAUCAGAAGGGAAUUAUUUUAGUCAAUGAAUUAAUCAAUGCUUAUGGGUUAGACGUUGUACUAUCUUAUAUGGAUUACAUACAACAAAACGCCGAAUUAGCAGUGCAAGACUUGUUAAAAACAGUUGGCAAAAGACAACUUGAACAACAUGGUACGACAAAACUAUUUUCAGAAGAUUUCCUCGAUGAUGGUUCGCGAAUUUGUUUAACCGUCAAUAUUGACAUUAAUAAAGGAACAGCUGUAUUUGACUUUACGGGCUCUGGUUAUGAAGUUUGGGGAAACUGUAAUGCACCAAAGGCAAUAUCUAGUUCAGCACUUAUCUAUUGCUUGCGUUCUAUGGUUGGACAUGAUGUACCUCUAAAUCAGACGAUGCAGCAGUCGUUGGAGGGAACGUUCAAACUUCGCAGAGAAUAGUUGAUGUCAUUUUGAACGCUUUUAAGGCUUGCGCUGCAUCCCAGGGUUGCAUGAAUAACGUGACUUUUGGACAGAAAUCUUGGGGCUAUUAUGAAACAAUAGCAGGCGGAGCAGGAGCUGGGCCUUCGUGGAACGGGCGGAGCGGUGUACACACUCACAUGACAAACACUCGAAUCACGGACCCUGAGAUUUUGGAAAACCGUUAUCCGAUUAUUUUGGAAGCGUUUAAUCUGAGAGAAAACUCUGGUGGCAAUGGAGCUUUCAGAGGCGGAGAUGGAGUCAAUAGAAUACUACUUUUUAGAAAUCAUAUUUCAUUAUCUAUACUUACAGAAAGGCGUGUUUUUCAUCCCUAUGGCUUGGAAGGUGGAUCUCCAGGAGCAAAAGGUGUUAAUCUCAUGCACAGACGAGAUGGAAGAAUUAUAUAUCUGCAGUCAAAAACUGCUAUAGAUGUCGAACCAGGG
rnacentral:misc_RNA from 1 species